rnacentral:lncRNA from 1 species
GGGGGAGGAAGAGGAGGAGGAGGAGGACAGCAGCAAGGUGGAAGAGGUUAUGGUCCUCAGUCUCAACAGGGAGGUCGUGGUGGUGGUCGAGGUUAUGGCCAGCCACCACAGCAGUACGGUGGACCUAGAGGUGGCCAACAGCCACAACAGUACGGUGGACCAAGAGAAGGCCAACAGCCACAGCAGUACGGUGGACCAAGAGAAGGCCAGCCACCACAGCACCAACACCAACAACAGUACGGUGGACCGAGAGGAGGACCUCCUCGAGGUGGGUACGGCGGUGGUGGCCGUGGAGGUGCGCCCUCUGCUGGACAGCCACAGAGACAAUCAGUUCCCGA